GAAGGUAAAAAAAAGAGGGAGGUCUGAGAAAUAGAAAUAUCAGAGGAAGGAAAUAAAGGAGGGUGAGAGUAAAUUCUCUUUUAGCAUUCAGAUUCCACAGAUUCCACAAAUCACAUUUCUUUUUUUACCAACUAAGGAAAAAUAACACUUGACCUAACAUUUCAUUGCAGUUAGCUAAAGGAUGCUAGAAAAACUAUGUUGCAGUGGUUUGCUCUAAUUUCUUCAGGAAUAGAGAAAAGUGACAAAAAGAUCAGAGAAGAGAAGAAAGGAAACUAUCAGAAAAAUACAGAAUUGGAGUAGGAUAUAACAUAUUUGGGUUGAAGGUAAAAUUUUAUAUUGUAAUCUUAAGUAUCUUGCUACUUCAGUUUGGUCCCUGGAACAGCAGCAUCAGAAUCUGCCGAGGGCUUGUUAAAAAGGCAGAAUCUCAGGUCCCAUCCCAGACUCACUGAAUCAGAAUAUAAAUACUGACAAGAUGCCCCGGGAUUCAUAUGCACAGUAGAGCUGGCGAAGUUCCAUUGUAGCCUGUGAUUGUUUUCUGCAACUUAGUAUUUCUGAGUUUUCCCAAGGAAGAAAACCCAGGCCUUAGCUUCUGGCAGACUUGUGUUUCUCCUUUACUUACUAGCUGCAUGACUCAUGAGCAAGGAAAUCAAACUUUAUGUGCCUGAGUUUCCUCAUCUAUAAAAUGGAGACUAUAAUAAUCAUCUCCUAGGCUUGUUUUGAGGAUGUUCAACAAAUGCUCCUUUCAUUCCUCUAUUUACAGACCUGCCGCAGACAAUUCUGCUAGCAGCCUUUGUGCUAUUAUCUGUUUUCUAAACUUAGUAAUUGAGUGUGAUCUGGAGACUAACUCUGAAAUAAAUAAGCUGAUUAUUUAUUUAUUUUCUCAAAACAACAGAAUACGAUUUAGCAAAUUACUUCUUAAGAUAUUAUUUUACAUUUCUAUAUUCUCCUACCCUGAGUUGAUGUGUGAGCAAUAUGUCACUUUCAUAAAGCCAGGUAUACAUUAUGGACAGGUAAGUAAAAAACAUAUUAUUUAUUCUACGUUUUUGUCCAAAAAUUUUAAAUUUCAACUGUUGCGCGUGUGUUGGUAAUGUAAAACAAACUCAGUACAGUAGUAUUCAGUACAGUAUUUAAGCCCCUGUACUUAAACAUAUUCCUCGUACCAAUGAAGUUACAUGAAAAGCAAAUUUGUGUGAGAUAUCGUAGAUGGAAGUAAAUUAGUCUUUAUGUUCCCCACAAAUUGAAAUGCAUUUCAAAAACUCUGUGUGUGUAUGUGUGUGUGUGACAGAGUGUGUGUGAGAGAGAGACAGAGAGAUACGCUUUGGUUGCCUCCAUAAGCUGGCUGCUAUGAUUAAUAAGACCAAGUUUUCUAAAGAAAAUGAGAUCAUAACAAAAGCCCUCUUUAUGACUAUCUUUUAUCAGGGGCAAAAAGGAAAGAGACAAAACAGCAUGAAAUGAUGAGACCAAGUGAUGAAAAUUCAUUCACAAUGAUUGCUUUCAAGAGUAAUUUCUCUUGGGUAAUUCAGCAGCCUGUUACUAUGGCUCUCUGGAGUGAUAGCUAAUGUAAAUGAAGCCUCUAAAAGUGGAUUAUCCUGACAAGAAUAUACUCAGCCAAUAAUGCAACAGAAAUCCAUUCAAAGCAUUCGGGAAAAAUUCAAAAGAAUAAAUAUUCUUUUUUUUUUUUUAAAGUUAAUGACCUACGAUCCAUUUCUUCCCUGACUAACAAGCAGCAAGCACUUAAAAAUAUCCAGCCAGGAUGAAAUAGAAACCCACCUGACUUGUUAAUAUUUUUGUUUGGUCCCAGGGACUCAGAUUCUAAGCCAAAUUCUUUGAAUGAUCUUGGCAAAUGUCUCGAAUUAUUUUUGCCAACUUUUCUUUAUCUUGGAAAAAAAGUUUCAUGAAUGGGUGUCAAAAUUGAUUAGUUUUAAAAACCUUUCUUGCAGAUACGUAUGGCACCCUAAAACUGUAUUAGAAAAAAAUUUCAUAUCUCCAGGCCUUUCAUUGGGUCAGGUUGGCAUUUCGCUGCCCUUUAUGUGUGUGACAAGUGAAAAUAAGGAAAGAAAAAAACUCAAGUGAAGAAAAUCAGAAUCUGCGCAGCAGUUCCUGGGCGUUUCAGCUGCUUCCCACAUCACCUGCCUCAUCAAGCCCCAGCAUCCAUCUCCUUGCUCAUCUUACACCCUGUGUGCAUGACAGGCCCACCAUUCAUUUAUCAGAGCAAAGGCUCUCCCACUAUUCUGGUUCACCCCCCUACUUAGCCAGAUAUACAAGAAUAUCUGCACGGAUGACCUGCCUCACCUGGGAGCUCAGAGGAGCUCAGAUUCCAUUACUAUCGCACCAAGGACAGAUCUCCCAGCAAGAAUGACAGAAAAGACUAACUGCCCCCAAAAUCUCCCUUCCAAAACACAGUUCUCUUAAUUCUCCCAAGAAACCAGAAUGUGACUGCUCACCUCUCUAAGGACCUGAAAACAACUGGCCAUUUCAGCUAUUUAAAUCAACUUUAAAAAAUCCAACCGCCAAAAUAUUAAACCAUUUUGGUUGGAAUGAUAACAUAACUAACCUGCUGACAGCUGCUUCUGCUAGGUGCAAAAAUGGAAAAAAAAAUACUUCUAAUCAGGUCAAAUCACUCUACCUUUGGGAUUCUAAAUUUACUCAUAUUCUCAAAGAAAUAUAUUCAGUCAUAGUGGGGAAAAUAGGAUUAUUCCUUUAGCUCGAUAAGCAACCAGAAGUUCUUCCUUCAAAUCUUGACAUUUAAUCAAUCAGAAAUUGAUUUUUGGAAAACUGUUUCCUAUGAAGCUAUCUCUGCCUGAAGGAUUUUUCUUUUACAAUCCAGACUAUAGAAGGAAAUUCACAACCUGGACUUUCACCUCCAUUGGUCAGAGUUUUACUGACCAAUUCCCACCUCUGCCUUACACCUAACGGAAGUUUAUGCCUGUUUUCUCUUCACAUACCCCAACAGUUACAAAUGGUUGUUAUUAUUAAGCAUCUUUUAUUUUGUGGCCUCUGAUUACAUGGUCCCCUAAAUUUUGACCUAAUCACAAAAGAUUGGUAAAAUUUCUUAACAUAUUAAUAAUAUUUUGUUUAUGUGUCAAUAUCUUAGCAUGUAUCAAUUAAGACAGAGGUCUUAACGUUCUCUUUUUGAAAGAGAAUAUUAGGAUUCAGAGAUAUUAAGAGAUUCUCCCAGGAUCACAGUUAGGUAACAGAGCUGGAUUUUAGUCCAGGUCUGUCUACAGCUCUAACGUAUAUACACCCUUUGUAUAACAUGUCACGAAUUCAGCAUAAAGGGAUCUUCAGUGAUCUAAGUCAGGGGUCAGCAACCUUUUCUAAAAAGGACCAAAUAGUAAUAUUUCAGGCUUUGUGGACCCUAUGGUCUCUAUCAUAACUGUUCAAAUCACCAUGUAGUGUAAAAGGAGCCAUAAGCAAAAUAUAAACUAACGAAUGUGGCUGUUUUAUGGGAUUUUUUUUUAACUCUUUAUUUACAAAAGCAGGUGGCAGAUCAGAACUCACUUAUGGGCCAUAGUUCUCUGACCCCUGACCUGAGAAAAUCUUAUAUUUAUGGACAACAUUUAGACUGUGACUUGCCAAGUAAGAACAAGAAGCUCUGUCAACUGAAGGUCAAGGCUGGAGUUCUGAAAGCAAAGAGCUGUCUGGUGUUAAUGAUAAGUGAAAUAGUUAAAGUUAGAAGAUCCCAGUUAUAAGAAGCACAAAGAAUAAUGACCAUAGACUCCUGAACAAGAAUGUCUGGACUUCUGGCUUAGGCACUCUUGUUGUAUGGUCCAGGCCAAGUUACCUAAUCUCUCCAGGCCUCCAUUUUCUUAUCAUUAAAUGAAGAUAAUAAAAGUAUUUUCCUCAGAGAGCUGUAAGAAUAAACUGAGCUAACCCAUGUCAAGCACAUAGAAUAGG
ensembl:lncRNA CLLU1 chronic lymphocytic leukemia up-regulated 1